CCCCUAGACCGAAGCCGAUUAAAGUUUCUCUGAGGAAGUGCCAGGAGACUCUGUCGAACGCCUUUUCGGCGUCUAUGGUAUGAAACCUGCUUGAUCCGGGUUCACCAGGAAGGCUCCUCCUUGAUGGUGGAUGUAACCUCGUGGAGCAUAUUUUUUAUAUCCGCUUUUGAUGGGAGAUUCGUGAGGUAAGUAUGUAUGUCCUGCUCUUCUUCUGCUUCACUUUCCAUUUCA